rnacentral:tRNA from 1 species
UGAGGAUGUGGCUGAUUGGUAGAGCACUUGCCUAGCAUGUGGGAGGCCCUGGGUUUAAUCCCCAGCACUGAA